rnacentral:rRNA from 1 species
ACAGACAGCCAGGAUGUUGGCUUAGAAGCAGCCAUCAUUUAAAGAAAGCGUAAUAGCUCACUGGUCGAGUCGGCCUGCGCGGAAGAUGUAACGGGGCUAAACCAUGCACCGAAGCUGCGGCAGCGACACUAUGUGUUGUUGGGUAGGGGAGCGUUCUGUAAGCCGCUGAAGGUGUGCUGUGAGGCAUGCUGGAGGUAUCAGAAGUGCGAAUGCUGACAUAAGUAACGAUAAAGCGGGUGAAAAGCCCGCUCGCCGGAAGACCAAGGGUUCCUGUCCAACGUUAAUCGGGGCAGGGUGAGUCGACCCCUAAGGCGAGGCUGAAAAGCGUAGUCGAUGGGAAACAGGUUAAUAUUCCUGUACUUGGUGUUACUGCGAAGGGGGGACGGAGAAGGCUAGGUUAUCCGGGCGACGGUUGUCCCGGUUUAAGCGUGCAGGUGUGAAGACCAGGCAAAUCCGGUCUUCUUUAACACUGAGGCGUGAUGACGAGCCGCUACGGCGGUGAAGUAACUGAUGCCCUGCUUCCAGGAAAAGCCUCUAAGCUCCAGGUAACACGAAAUCGUACCCCAAACCGACACAGGUGGUCAGGUAGAGAAUACCAAGGCGCUUGAGAGAACUCG